rnacentral:rRNA from 1 species
UACGUAGGGUGCAAGCGUUGUCCGGAAUUAUUGGGCGUAAAGAGCUCGUAGGCGGUCUGUCGCGUCGGCUGUGAAAACUCGGGGCUCAACUCCGAGCCUGCAGUCGAUACGGGCAGACUAGAGUGCUGUAGGGGAGACUGGAAUUCCUGGUGUAGCGGUGAAAUGCGUAGAUAUCAAGUGGAACACCAGUGGCGAAGGUGAAUCCCUGGAAAAUACCUGACACUGAGGCACGAAAGCUAGGGGAGCAAACAGG